UACGUAGGGUCCAAGCGUUGUCCGGAAUUAUUGGGCGUAAAGAGCUCGUAGGCGGCGUGUCGCGUCGGAUGUGAAAGCCCGGGGCUUAACUCCGGGUCUGCAUUCGGUACGGGCAUGCUGGAGUUCGGUAGGGGAGACUGGAAUUCCUGGUGUAGCGGUGAAAUGCGCAGAUAUCAGGAGGAACACCGGUGGCGAAGGCGGAUCUCUGGGCCGAUACUGACGCUGAGGAGCGAAAGCGUGGGGAGCGAACAGG
rnacentral:rRNA from 1 species